rnacentral:tmRNA from 1 species
GGGGCUGACUGGUUUUGACGACGAGUUUGUCUCACGUGUAAGCAUGUCGGGAGUUGGGGGUACCUCCUGAAAUUAAUGCCCUCCGAACAAUAACAGGCGAAGAGAAUUCUUACGCUUUGGCUGCUUAAUCUAGGUAUUAAGCUACAGUCAACGUCUCUCCACGACCACGUCCUGCCGUCGUGGGUCAGGGGCGACACCAUGCAGGGCCUUGUUUGCGAAGGGUUACGGUCGUAAAUGAGUAUUAGUGACUAAGAUAUAGUUCGGUUUGUUGCCGACCUGAUUAUGUCCGACAACAAUGCGCAACUAAGCAUGUAGAAAGCGUCAGGUUACCUUGCUCGGACCAGGGUUCGACUCCCUGCAGCUCCACU